rnacentral:rRNA from 1 species
GAUGAACGCUGGCGGCGUGCCUAACACAUGCAAGUCGAGCGAUUCUCUUCGGAGAAGAGCGGCGGGCGGGUGAGUAACGCGUGGGUAACCUGCCCUGUACACACGGAUAACAUACCGAAAGGUAUGCUAAUACGAGAUAAUAUGCUUUUAUCGCAUGGUAGAAGUAUCAAAGCUUUUGCGGUACAGGAUGGACCCGCGUCUGAUUAGCUAGUUGGUAAGGUAACGGCUUACCAAGGCGACGAUCAGUAGCCGACCUGAGAGGGUGAUCGGCCACAUUGGAACUGAGACACGGUCCAAACUCCUACGGGAGGCAGCAGUGGGGAAUAUUGCACAAUGGGCGAAAGCCUGAUGCAGCAACGCCGCGUGAGCGAUGAAGGCCUUCGGUCGUAAAGACUCUGUCCUCAAGGAAGAUAAUGACGGUACUUGAGGAGGAAGCCCGGCUAACUACGUGCCAGCAG